rnacentral:rRNA from 1 species
AGCGAACGCUGGCGGCAGGCUUAACACAUGCAAGUCGAGCGCCUCGCAAGGGGAGCGGCAGACGGGUGAGUAACGCGUGGGAACAUGCCCAAAGGUACGGAACAACUCCGGGAAACUGGAGCUAAUACCGUAUGUGACCGAGAGGUGAAAGAUUUAUCGCCUUUGGAUUGGCCCGCGUUGGAUUAGCUAGUUGGUGGGGUAAAGGCCUACCAAGGCGACGAUCCAUAGCUGGUCUGAGAGGAUGAUCAGCCACACUGGGACUGAGACACGGCCCAGACUCCUACGGGAGGCAGCAGUGGGGAAUAUUGGACAAUGGGCGCAAGCCUGAUCCAGCCAUGCCGCGUGUGUGAUGAAGGCCUUAGGGUUGUAAAGCACUUUCGCCAGGGACGAUAAUGACGGUACCUGGAUAAGAAGCCCCGGCUAACUUCGUGCCAGCAGCCGCGGUAAAAC